GGGCCCAUAGCUCAGUGGUCAGAGCCACCGGCUCAUAACCGGACGGUCCCAGGUUCGAAUCCUGGUGGGCCCACCA
rnacentral:tRNA from 2 species